CCUAGGGGGGCAGCAGUGGGGAAUAUUGGGCAAUGGACGCAAGUCUGACCCAGCAACGCCGCGUGAAGGAAGAAGGCUUUCGGGUUGUAAACUUCUUUUAAGGGGGAAGAGCAGAAGACGGUACCCCUUGAAUAAGCCACGGCUAACUACGUGCCAGCAGCCGCGGUAAUACGUAGGUGGCAAGCGUUGUCCGGAUUUACUGGGUGUAAAGGGCGUGCAGCCGGAGAGGCAAGUCAGAUGUGAAAUCCGCGGGCUCAACUCGCGAACUGCAUUUGAAACUGCUUCCCUUGAGUAUCGGAGAGGUA
rnacentral:rRNA from 1 species